CUGUGCCUGGCCUGGGAGGCCGGGGCCAUGCCAUGCUCUUCACAACUCUGCCCCGUGACCCUCAUGCCGCUAAUAAUCUCCCGGUUCUCUGUGGCACAAGAAGCGCCGCUGUCUGGAGCGAGAACGUGGCCUUGAGUAACCUCAGGGCCCGGCUACAUCUGCUGACGAAACUCCUGUUGUUGCUAUCGCUGUGCAGCUCCAUGAGGGGGAGCCCCGCUGUUGUCAGGCCCCUCUCUGAGCCGGGUUAAGGGUGGUUCAAACUCUCUAGCCAGUCUGGUGGUGGUAAUGAUUGGGAACGCAGCCCGAGAGGCUGAAAUCUAGAAGUUUGGUCCUUAGGACCCUGCUAGAUGGUCUGGCUUGCUACAGCGAAGCAGCAGCCUCUGCUGGGAAUGCCGGACAUUCCCUUCAGGUAGUGGGCCUGGCUUUAGGGUGAGGAUCUCUGGCCCCCGCUAUGCUGCAGUUCAGACUAGCAUGAUCGCCAUGAUCUGUUCUGGCUCUGACAUCUAUGAAGGGGUGGCGUGGCCUUCCUUUGGAAUUCCCCUCCGCCCCCAGCUCAGGUCGAGGCACGUGGUACUACGUGAAUGCUGCGACCGUUCUCUCCAAAGGUGGGGAGGCGGCUUGGCGGGAGAAGUAGCUAAGAGCAAGUGGGUGAAACAGGUGGGGUUGUCUGGACUGGACUGGAGGAGGAAGUGAAUGUGCCAUGAGAAUCUGAGCGAGACUGGCUGUGGGUAAACUCGGGCUGGGCUGUUUGAACUCUCACUAGGUAAAGCACUUGAGUCUGUGGCAGGGACAGCCCUGCAGACGGCCAAGGGCGGAGCGUCGGGGGAAGGAGUCUCCUUGCUCUCCCACUCGGGGGCAUGGGGCGGCCCGUGGGCGCUCACAGAGGGAGCAGCACUGGGGUGUCUGUCUGUCUUGCCAUGCCCCCUAAGAAAAAGGAGGCUGGGGUCCCAGAGCAAGCCACUCCUCCAACAUGCAUCUCUGCAGGUCGGUCUGCCAGAGCGGAGACCCCGUUUGGCCCUGCCAGCUGCUGUGGGCAAAGAGCUUCAUGGCGGGAGGAAUGGCAGCUGAGAGAGGAUCUCGUUCGAUGUCCACAGUAGGACUUGGACUUCCAUGGACUUGUUCUAACGUACCGGGGGGUGGGGGAAGGAAAGUCGUGAAGGGAAGGAGUGUGGCAGAGGU